UUAUGUAUUCUCCCAAAAAUAAUUCUGUAAUAAAAAUAAACUAGUUCCCUCUUAUUGGGUGGUGUGGUGUGACAAUUAAGAGCCGCCCCGCGCGAAGUCACGCAAGGGGGGUUACCGCCAUUACUAACCCUCCUACCUUUGAAUGGUGGCUUGGUGGUUUGGUGGGUGUGUAGCUAGCUGAAUAAGGCAUCGUUUGUUUCCACACUCUCUCCUCUAUUUAAAUUGAGAAACGUGGACGCAAUCAUUACUGCAUUAAAUGGUUAAGUGGUCUUAUUAUUCAUCACCCAAACAGAGCCCCUCUCUCCCUGCCUAAUCUUUAUCUUUGUUCACCUGCCUUCUUCAGUUCUUCAGCUAGUACACAUGCAGCUGAAUAGCUGAAGCACAAGCUGCAUCCAAACUCUCUUCCACUCUAGCAAUCUGUAAGUUUAUCUUUCUCUCUGUGUUAUAUAGUAUUAUUUAUAUAUAUUUACAAUAUAUAUGUGUUUUGUGAUAUAUUGUUUUGUAUACUAGUAUAAUUUGAUACAAGAAAAAUACCCAGUUAGAGUUUUGUUGGGGUAAGAUGUGAGGAUGUAUUGAUUUCUAAAUGGAGUUCUUGAAUGAGAUUUCAGAUAUCAUAUUUGACCGUGUUUGGGCUAAUUCAUUAUACAGAUCUAUCUAUAUAUGUUUUCCUCCUUUAUUGUUCUAUUAUUUUCCCUCUUUAUUCUUCAUACUACUUUGAUUACUGAAGAAAUAUUCGGAGUAAAGUAAAAUUACGCUUUAUUUUUCUUGAUUCAUUGUUUUCUUCCUUUUAGGUAUAUAGUAAUUAUAAUAUACUCCCUCGGUCCCUCCCUUCCAAAAGAGAGUUUAUUCCUAAAUUUAAUAAUUAUUAUUUUACUACUACUAGUACUAAGAUAUUGAAAAGUAGUAGCACGAUGAUGGAGUGGUGUGGCCUGCUAAUAACCAAUAGAUUAAUGAGUAAAAUACACUAACACCCCUUUUAAAUAACCAUAAUAAAGUUCAUCUCCCUCUAGUUUUUUAAAUAACAGGUAGGAUCCCUACAAGUUUUGCAUUUGUUUUGGCUCCACUUGUGCACUUUUAGCAACACGUAUUGCUCUGUCAUUAUUAACCUACUUAAUUUAAGCACAAAUUCUAAGAGCCAAAAAGGAAAUGUUACCAAAAUAUACUUGUUGACCGCAUAUAAAUUUUUAUUUAAAUGUGAUUAUUAAACUUUAAUAUGACUAGAAAACCCUAAUUUAAUUAGGAAACCCUAAUUAUAUUUUUGAAAUCUUAAUUUUCUAAUUAAAACCCUAAUUAGAAAAAAAAUCUUAGAAACUAAAGUUGUAGAACCUGAGGGUUAGAACCUUAGGAUUACCCUAAGGGUUUGGAGAAAUGUCAAGUAUGCCAUUAAAAUUAAAAUGCAAAUGACCAAAUUGCCCUUUUUAUAUUUUUAAUAAGCUAACUUGCAAAUUUUGCCAAAUUUGUAGUUGUUCGCCAACUAAAGCUAGCCUUUUGACUUAAAUCUUAGCUACAAUCUAAUCUAGAGGGACACCUUGCAUUACAUACAUUUAAUGUAUCUAACUUAGAGGAUUAAAGGGAGAGAAAGUUUUAACUUUUGCUCAUUUAGCUAUCAAACACUCCACUUACUUUUCUCUCUCCCAAACCUCCAAAAUAUUAAAGUGUAUAAGUCCCUAAAACACCUCUUAGAACACUAAGAAUAGUAGGAGAGAUCAAAGAUCAAGGAUUGGACAAGAACGUAUACACCUCUAAAUCUACUUUGAUCUUGUAUGCUUAGUCAAAAAUCAUGUUUAUGUGUUUAUCUAUGUGCUAAUUAAUGGAUGUUUUAUGAUGAUCUAUGAUGAUCCAUCAUAGAUUCAUAGCAUCAAAAGGCUUUAAAAUGAUGAUUUUCAAAAACUGUUCUUGAACUCAAAAUGUGGUCUGACAAGCGAAUGUCAGUGGUUGUAAAUUCUUGUUUGUCUAUUAUUUUUAUUGUUUUAAGCUUUGAAUGUGUAGUCUGACAUGAGUACUUUGAUCUAGAAAUGGAAUCGUAGCUAUUGGAUGUCCAGCUUUUAAGUUAUAAACUGCGAGACCCCAAAUUUUAUGAAUAAAAAUUUAAAUUUCCCGAAUUUUUUAUAUAUUAUGGAGUAAAUUUGAUAUAAUGUUAUAGUUGUGGGUAAUAUUUAGAAAUUUUUAAAAGUAUGCAAGUUGUUAUAUAAUAUUCGAUUGGUCGGGGAAUAUUCAUUUUAACAAGGAAUAUUCGUACGACGGCACAAUCAUUGGUGGACCCCACAACGGAAUUAUUGUCGGAUUGAGAAAACGACAAAAAUAUUUUUUAUGAAAAUAACGGCGGAAGUCUUACCAUUAACUGUUGAAACACCCGGUGUUAAAAGUAUAGUAAUACGUGUGGUUUCAUAGUAGCACACGGUAUUGAUUAUUGAUGCUUACGUGAGAAGUCACUCAGUUUUGUUCAAUUAUUGCUACAAUAAUUGUUGCAUAGUAUCUCACGUUAUUUGAUUCAAUUAUUGUCGAUAUUUUAUAUAUUAUUAAAUCAAUAAUUGAGAUAACAAAGUUAUUAAUAUUAUUAUUUGCAAUAUUAAUGAUGUCUAGAAAUUCUGCCAAGGAGAGGUUUGGUUAUUUAAUUGCGCGCCAAUAGGGAGAAAUCCUUAUUGAAAAGCCCCCUCUUUCCUGGGAACGAUCUGGUCGAUUAAUAUUGUGAAUUAUAAUAAUGAUGAUAAAUGUUGUUAAAUAUAUUGAGGUGUCUUUUUAUGAAGUCACGAAAGUAUAUUUAUAUAUAUAUAUAUAUAUAUUCUGUUUUAUUAGUAUUAUUAAUGUAAUAAAACAGAAAAGCUUUUUAUAUAAAACAAAAUACUUUUAUAAAGUUAUUUAUUUUAUUAGACUAUAAAUAGAAAUAUUAUAUUCUAUUAUGCGUAGUAUUUUGCAUAGUAAAAUAUUUUUAUAUAAAACAGAAUACUUUUAUAAAGUUAUUUGUUUUAUUAGACUAUAAAUAGAAUAUAUUAUAUUCUAUUAUGCAUAGUAUUUUGUAUAGUAAAAUCUUUUUAUACAAAACAGAAUACUUUAAUAAAGUUAUUCGUUUUAUUAGAUUAUAAAUAGAAUAUAUUAUAUUUUAUUUAAAAGAUUUUGUUUUAUUAGAAUAUUUUAUUAAUACUGCAUAGUAAAUCAAUAUGGACCGUCCGUUUAAAAGUAAAUCAAUCUGGACCAUUCAUGAAUUAGUUACUAUUCAGUUCAUUCUCCUAUAAAUAGAAGCUCAUUCCUUCAUUAUUUCUUACGAACUCACAAACAUUCUAGAGAGAGAAACUAUAGAGAGAAAGAAGAAAAGUAUUCUGCUACUUCACUACUCAUAUAGUCAGUUUCUUCUAAGGUAAGGGAUAUUAUUUGUUGUAUUCGUAAGGGGUAUUAUUUCUUUCGUAUUCAUGAAGAGAAUUAUUUUCUUUCAAUACUCGUAAGGGGUAUUAUUUAUUUCGUAUUCAUGAAGAGAACUUCUGUUAUUCCAUUCUUUAUUAUUCUGUUGGAAUAACCUGCAUACGCGGGCUACACUAUACUUGGUGAAAUUCUUCUGUUAUUCCAUUCUUUAUCAUUAUGUUGGAAUAACCUGUCUAUGCGAAGUACCGCAUACAUGGUGAAAUUCUUCUGUUAUUCCAUUCUUUAUUAUUCUGUUGGAACAUCAUGUCUGUGCGUUUACGCAUGACUUGGUUCCGUUAUUUAUUAUUCUAUUGGAAUAUAAUGUCUGUGUGUUUACGCAUGACCUGGUUCCAUUAUUUAUUAUUCUAUUGGAAUAUCCUGUUUGUGCAUUUGCGCAUGACCUGGUUCCAUUAUUUAUUAUUCUGUUGGAAUAUCCUGUCUAUGCAUUUACGCAUGACCUGGUUCCGUUAUUUAUUAUUCUGUUGGAAUAACCUGUCUGUGCGGUCUAUCGCAUGCCUGGUGAUUUCUUUCAUUAUUCCAUUCUUUAUUAUACUUAGUUGGUUAAAGUUGUGGCUUUUAUACUCCAUGAAAUUAUUGGAAUAUCCUUGAUAUUUUCGCUUCAUCUAGUAUAUUUUCAUGGAAAUUUUCUUCUGAGCUUUCUUGAGUUUUACCCCACAAAGAAGUAUCAUAUUGACAACUUGGACGUUAUUGGUUCCUGGAUAAAUUAAUUCUUGAACUUGUUUUAUUGAAUUCUUAUAUCAUUGUCAUCAUCCUCAUGUUUAUAUUAUGUUAAAAGUCAUUUGUGGCCUGUAGUGCAUAGAUGGACUUGGUAUGAUUAUGACCAGGGUUUAAUCGGUAUAAUCAUGACCGUAAUGUUACAAAUGAUGUGGUAAAAGUCCUCAUUGGCCCAUAGUGCAUUGAUGGACAGUUGUUGGCAUGAUCAUGACCAUUGAUGAAUACACGAAUAUCCUUGGCCCGUAGUUCAUGGAUAAUUUGUGGUUAUGAUACUAAUGAAUAUCCUUGGCCGUAGUGCAGGGAUGAUGUGGGUUAUUUAUUAAGCUGAGUCCCAGCAAUAAAAGUAAUGAAAAACCUUUUAAAUCAUAAAAGAUAGUAGAUUUUAUUCUCUACUUGACUCUUUUAAUGGAUUGCUUGUUCCGCUGCAGUUAAACUUGAUGUUUGUUAUAUUGUAUCAGUUUAACACUGUUGAAGGCUAACGAUAAUUUAUUCUGCAUUAUCUUAGUCAUAAUAUUUCUUACUGGGCUAGUUGAGCUCACCCUUUUUCUCACUGUUCUCUUCAGGAAAUGAGAACAUAGCAGGGACUAGUCGGGGAACGGAGUGACGGUCCAGAUGAUAGCAUUAGUAGUCCUCACUAUUCUAUGAAAUAGUGUGAUAAUAAAUGUAUUGAGGACUUAUUUUGAGUUUGAAUACUGUCUAGAAGACAAUAUUUGUAUUAAAACUCACAGCUCAUGUUGUAUAUUUAAGAAUGUAAUUGUAUUCUGUACCAUGUAUUUGGCGACUCAGAAUAGGUGAUGUAUACCUAUUUUGGGGGUGUCAUAUAAACGGUCAAAACCCGUUGACCGGGCAUGACCGGACGAUUUCUGGGUAACCCAGAAAUCGAUUUCCAAUGUCUGACAUGAUGUUUGAAGGCCCAGAUCUGUCAGAUAUGAUAUCGUUUGAUGAUGUAUUUGUAACCAGUUUGUAGCUUGUUAAAUGGACUAUAGAUCCUGGCCUUUAGAGCUCUUAAACAACACAUAUUUUGGUUGUAGUGGAUGGUUAAACUAAACCAUUUGAUCACGGAAGAAGUUUCUGGAAUUUCCAGAAACUGUUAGCUAGAGCCCUCUGACAAGGUUUGACUAGAUUCAAUCUUGUGGUUGUGUUAUAUUUGGACUGAGAUCUUGCUAUGUCGUUGUUCCUUGUCAUGUAUACUACAUGUAUGAACCAUAAAACCACCAAAAUAAAGAUCAAAACUCAGAUUAAAUUGACCUAGAAAGUGACCACUCGAACUACCUGAGUUUCUGGAAAACCCAGUUAACGUCUGACAGUGACUUUGCAUGGCCGGAUCUUAAUGAUGUGUUGAUGUAUGACCUAUAUAUUGGUUGAUAGUUGUAGUGGUGCAUACUUAAUACAAGAUCAACAUUUAAACUAGCCCAGAGCAGGAUUAUACUGAGAAUUAUAAGUUGGUCAAACCAUGACCCUUGCUAAGCCGGCUGUCAGUGUUCUUCAGGCCAAGAACACCUAAAACGACAGAAAGUGUCGCUAUAGGCUAUAGCGACGGUUUAAUUAAUUUCUAUUUUUUGAUUUUCCAGAAAUUAAUUUAUAAUAGAAAUAAAUUCUAAAAAAUUACAAAAAUAGUUUUAAAAAUUAUUUUAAAUUAUGAAAAAUAAAUUUUGACUAUUUGGGAUAUUUUUCAUUAAUAUUUAUAAUUAUUUGAAUAUUAAUGAUAUUUAAUUUAUUUAAUUAAUGUAUUAAAUAAAUUAGAGAAAAAUGAUUUUAAUAUUAUAAAAAUCAUUUUAAUAAAGAAUAAAGUAUUUAAAAAUAUUUUAAGUUAUAAAAUGUAACUUUUAAUAUUUUUAGAGAAUUUUCAUUAAUAAAUUAAUAUUAAUGAUAUUAAAUUUAUUUAAUUAUUAUAUUAAAUAAAUGAGUUAAAAAUGGUUUUAUUGAUUUAAAAAUCAUUUUAAAUGAGAAUAAAGUGUUAAAAAAUAUUUUGACUUAUAAAAUGUAAUUUUUAAUAUUUUUGGAGAAUUCUCAUUAAUAAAUGAUAUUAGAUUUAUUUAAUUAUUAUAUUAAAUAAAUGAAUUAAAAAUGAUUUUAAUGAUUUAAAAAUUAUUCAAAAAUAAGAAAAAUGAUUUAAAAAUAUUUUAUUAUAAUUAAUGACUUUUAAUAUUUUGAUGAUAAUUUCAUUAAUAUUUAUAUAUUAAUGGCGAGGGUUUAAAUAUGGUUUUAAUUAUUUUAAAAAUCAAUUAAGUAGAAUAUUGAUGAUUUAAAAACAGUUAUUAAUAAUAACUUUAAUAUUUUGACAAGUAUGACAUUAAUAUUUUUAUAUUAUUAAAUACUAAUGAUGAUAAGAUUAUUUGAUAAUUAAAUCAUUUAAAAUGAUUUUAGUGUUUGAAAAAUUAUUAUAAAUUAUAAUAAUUGUUUGAUAAUUAUUAAAAGCUUCCGAAAAAUAUUAUAAACGAUAUUUGACUUAUCUAAAAUAAUAUUGAAGCUUUGGAACUGAGUUUAAUUGACAAUCAAUGCGUUAAUUGUCGGAUAGGGUGACCAAUACACCGAGAAUAGACUGAAGUCUAACCAGAUCGAACUAGUUAGACUUGAUAAGUGUUUAUAUAGGUUAUAAACACUGAUGUGACUAUGUGGUAAUGUGCUUAGGAGAAAGAUUGAUUAUAAAUUAUAGUGUUGCGUGUUAUAAAUUAUUAUGCUAAUUAUGAGACCGAUAUUGUGAUUAUAGGUCUUUCAAACGCAAAUAAGUAUAUUGUGUAGCAGUAAUCAACGUGGAAGGCAAGUUUCCUAACUCAACUUUGAGUUAUACUUUUUAAAUAUUAUGGUGGUUAAUUAUUGUUGAUCAGACCACGUCUGAGAAUUAUUGUUGAUUAUUCGCAGUUAGUGCAUAUUUAUUAAUUCAAAUUGAAUUAGUGAUUCUGAAAAUAUACUUGGAGAGUAACUGUUGUUCGAUACUUACAUUCGUAGAAGCUAUUAUUGACAGUACAUAUAAUUCCUGUAUAUUGUUAAAUUGUGUCAAGAUAUGUCUUAGCUAAUUAUUCUGGCUAGACGAACAAUUGUUAGAACUCGAUAGGUUCGAGAAGAAAAGAGAAGAGAAUUCAAUUAUUAUUGAUAGAUCGAUGCCAAUUAUAUCGGCUAGAUCAAAAAAGAAAACUUGAUAAGUUUGAGAAGAGAAGAGAAGAGAAGAGAAUUCAAUUAUUAUUGAUAAAUCGAUGCGAAUUGUUUCGGCUAGAUCAAAAAAAAAAACUUGAUAAGCUUGAGAAGAGAAGAGAAGAGAAGUGAUUAGAUAUUGAAAUCAUUGUAUUUCAUUGUUGAAUCAAAUUCUGAUUUAAAGAUUGAGAAGAACAACCUUUUAUAUAAAGGGAACAUUUUUGGUCCUAUGUUGGCCUUUACGCGCAUUUUAAGUAUUAGGCAUAAUAUAGGGUAUAAUAAAGCUGAUCACUUGUUAUACUUGCAGAGGGGUAUGAUUUAAUCUUUAUGGUUAUCUAAUACACCUGGGUAUAUAUCAAAGUAAAUCUUUGAUAGCUACUUGAGAAGAAAAGUUCUAGAUCCUUUUUGAUCACUCAGCAUAAACUCUGGAAAAUAUUUCAAUCUUGUUAUUCCAUUGAAUAUUGUAGAGACCUUGAAAGCGUUGUACUAUUUCAUUAUCAAAUUAUUGUGUUGCAUAGGUUGCGAGAAGACUUGUUAGUGAUCAAUGAAUUGUUCAGCUAUUUCAAAGUUCCCCGAACUUUGGAGUUAUUCUAUCGAAUUAGAUAGUUUGUUGUUCUGAUUCUUAUACAUUUAUUGUAUAACUUAACUUGCGGGGCAAAUUUGUUGUUCACCCUUGCUAAAUAAAAUAUUUCAGCUAGGGAUGAAGUGACUAGAGGUGCUAUGAAGAACAAAGGCAAAGGUGCUAUGCUGUGAUAGCUAUGGUUAACAUUAUUAUUAUGUUGUAUUUAUAAACUCUUUUUGUAUAUCUAAAGGGUAUGCUUGUAAUGUUAUGGUUAGAUAACAUGGGACGAAUGUAUUAACUAUAUCAGUUAAUGUGGUGUAAUAUUCUAUUCAUCAAUGAAUGGGUAAACUCGGAGGUCAGGUAACCCGGAUUUGGGGGUGUCAAAUUAACCACAUUCUGUACACUUAACAUAUACACUUAUAUCCUUAACAUUGUACGCCUUCACCAAAAAAUUUAAAUUCACAAAAUUCCUUCCCAGAAAUCUCAAAUCCAUACACUUAUUUUCAGUCUAGGUCUAUUAUUUAACCUUAAUUCCAUCUUUUAAGAUUUUAUUAAAUUAUCCAAAUUCUCGGGUUGUCACAUUCACCCCUUCUUCUAAGAAUUUCUUUCCCGAAAUUCAACUUAGACCGUAUACCUUUCAUACACAGCAUCACAUGCUACCCAAUACAUCCUUCACAAGAGUUAAAAUUUUCAAACAGUGCUGAGGAGUUAUAUAGACCAUUAUCUUUCAUUUUCAAAAAGGUUUUAUAGAAAUUCAUCCGUAAACCGUCAUAACUUACAGACACAGAGGGUGAUUAGCCCGGUAUGCCCUGUACUGGCCAAGGAUUGCUGGUUGGAACAAUUUUUCCCCAUUCCUCUUAUCCACCUUGGGCACACCAAAGUUUCUUACCUCAGCCUUUAUCGGAAUCCGCAGCAAAAUAAUUUGGUUCGGGAAAAUUUUUAAAGAAUGCUUAGAGUUUUCAUAAACGUGUGUCUAACCAAAUCAAAUAGCUUAGACUCAUAUCAAUAAUCAAUUUCAAGCGAAAUAUUAAUGUAUAGCCAAAACCCCGUUGGCAAAUUAAAAUUUUGAAAAUAUUUUAAAAAAAAUAACGUCAUGAUGUCAUACUAUAUUAACAACCCGUUUGAGGAUGUCGUCAUUGUAUGACUGUCAUAACACAUCAUACAAUAAUGGGACAACGAUUUUUCAAUUGAAUUCAACACUAAGUAUUCCUGUAAUUACAACUCUAACAUUUUUUAUCAUCUGUGUAUCAGGUUACAUUAAUGAUAAAUAAAACAUGUUUUGAUAUUUCAAAAUCAUUUUUGUCUAGCCGAAACAAGUAGCAUAGAGUAUUCUUUAAAUCGUUCAAAAAUUAUUGCAAAUUAGUUUUAUAUUAUUAAUAGGUAACGAGGUGUCAGUGCCUCGAAGUCCACACAUACACAAUGGUCACCAGAAGUUGAGAUUAAUAAUUCAUUUUCAAAAACACAUAGUGUGUAUUUAGCUUGAUGUCCAAAAAUUUCAAAGUCUAGCAUAGCUAGGAGUUUUAGAAAACCUAUGUCUCCACUAAUAAUCAAUUGCUUAAACAAUCUAUCUAUUCCUAUUAUCCUCAAUAUUCCAUUCAAAUAAAACUAUACUCAGUUCAUCAAACUUACCACACUUAUGAGUUCAGGAACUUUCCACAAUCAUAUGAGUUUAAGAACUUGUCCUAGACAGGCCUUUGACAUCCAUUCGCUGAGGGGUUCAUAAACAUUUCAUAUAAUUAUGAGUCACGAAUGUACCAUAAGUAUGAGUUUUAAGAACUCGUACUUAAUCCUAUAUUCUCUACCUAUACCCUACCUAUCUGUUAUACACCUGAGAAAAGAAUCACCUUCUCAACAGGUAUAUGGAAAAUAGCGCGACACAAACAUUUCAAUGAUUAUCAGUGCCAGAAAUUAAGUGGUUUUUACACCAAGUACAAUUCCCUUCCUAUACGAAAAAUCAUACAACUCAGAUGCUGACAUGAGUCCUUAAUUGAAAUCCCCACUUAAUACUAACUCACUUCUCAAUACGAAACUUGUAUCCAUAAUCCUUUCCUGAAUCUGUACCAAUUCAUAGUACCACUGACAAACAACAAUCUUUGCUAUAAAUUUUUCAAUCAUUCGAUUGAUUCUAUUCCCUGUUAUAUACUUAUCAUAUCACGGGGUGAUCUCAUCAUAUAUAUUAUGAUUCAUUUUUGUACUAUAAUCGUUUUGUUUUAAGAUCUUCUAUCCAUGUGCCUUUAAUCUUUUAAACUCUAUCUAUUCACCAUUACUGUUCACCUUUAUUAUCAGAGUUAGGGAACUUCGUGUCUUUGUAACCCACUAAGAUUCGUCUUUGAAUCUUACCGACACACUAACUCUAUUUGAGUUAGACCUAAUCCUAAUCACUGCUAUUAUUAGUCUCAUGUAACCCUACCUAAGGUUCAUAACCUACAACUUGGAUACUUACUGUAGCAGCCCCAGAUCCGGGUCCCAAAUCACCACGAAUCUGGUAUACUAUUUCUAUAACUAUUGCGAAAGAUAUAAACAUACAUUGUUUAUACAUUAAACAUUACACAUUAAUCCCCAAGGUCGAGAACCUUCACUUAAAACCUGAAUCAAUAUCCUAUCUAACAUAUAAUGUUAUUAUUAUAUAAUACUAUUACAAAUCUAGCUGCACAUAUAUUCCCAAGCUGAACUUGGCUUUGACUUUUUCUUGUAUUCAACGUAUUCGCCUAAUCUGCAAUAUUUAUAAUGAUAUAGCAAGGGUGAGCAAGAAGUUGCCCGACAAGUUUAGGUUUAAUAAAUCAAGGAUAUAUAAUGAUAGCAAGAAUCGAACAAUAAGUUGGCUAAAAUUCUACAAUAUAAUUGUGAACUAGCAUAAACAAACUUUCACAGCUGAACGAAAAUUGUAUAUGAACAUAUCAAUUAUAUCUGAACCGAAUGGUAAUGAAGGUGAUAAGCCUUUCAUACCUGAUGAUUACAUGCAAUAUGCACAGAGUAAGAUUUAAUAAUUCUUAGACAUGACAAUCAGCAAUAAUUAACCACAAGUAUAUUUAAAUGAAACAACUCGAGGUCGAGUUUAAAGAACAUGUACAAUAAUUGAGUAAGGGAACUUGCCUGUUCGGUUGAUUACUGUUACGCAAUCUAUCUAGCUUUGUCUGAAUACCUAAUAUAAAUAAUAUCGAUCUCUAAAUAUUAGAAUAAUAUCAUCAUAGUAUAAUAUAUAUAUAUAUAUAUAUAUAUAUAUAUAUAUAUAUAUAUAUAUAUAUAUAAUAACCAAACACAUAAACACAUAAUCCUAUCACUCCACAACUACUUAAGACUCGGUAUCAAGUCAAACUAUUUCAGUCUGAGUUGAAUCUGGUAUAAUUUCGACAUCUCGAUGUCCUAGUCGGAUAAUUCUCGAGCCUAAUAUCACUAAGACUCGGUCUAAAUUGGUUCACAAAUAUCUUAAAUAAUUUAUUAUUAGUCAAAAUAUUUUUCAUAGUUCAUAAUAAUUUUCAGAUAAUUAUUACCAUUUAUCAUGAUUUUUCAAUCAUUAAUAACAUAUUUAUAUAAAUUACAUACCACUUAAUUCCAUUAUCAUUAAUAUUUAUUUAAUAUUAAAUAUUAAUGAAAUUCUUAUCAUAAUAUUAUAAUAUGUUUAUGAUAUCUCAAAGUUUAUUUUAAUACCUUAAAAUCAUAUUUAAAUGAUUUUUAAAAGUUAAAUCCAUUAUCCAAUAAUUGCCAUUAAUAUUAAAAUAUUAAUAAAAUUCAUGACCAAAUAUCAAAAUUUAUAUUUUAUAACUUCAAAUAUUUUUAUAACACUUAAAUCAUUUUUAUAUGAUUUUUAAAUUAUUAAUUCUGUUUUUCCAUAAUUUAUUUAAUUCAAUUAUUAAAUAAAUUAAUUACCACUAAUGAUAAAUUAUUAAUGAAAUUCAUCACAAAAUAUUAAAAAUCAUUAAAAAUAACAUAAAAUAUUUUUCUUAUACCAUAAUAUAAUUUUAAAUGAUUUUUCAAAUAUUAGAAUCAUUUUUAAGUAAUUUAUUUAAUAUUAUAAUUAAAUAAGUUAAAUACCAUUAAUAUUCCCAAAAUAUUAAAUGUUAAUGAAAUAUGUUCAAAAUUAUUAAAAACCCAUUUUAGGCUUUAAAAUAAUUUUUAAGAAUUUAUUAUGUAUUUUUCAUAAUUAAAAACUAUUUUUCUCUAUUUAUUAAAUAAAAUAAUUAAUUUUAUAAAGAAACUGUCACUAAAGGGUACCUAUAGAGACAGAACCGUCGCUAUAGGUGUUCUUCAGUAUUCUUGACCAAACCUAGAUCUUCAUAGCCCAUGUUCAGAGUACCUACUUUGACCGGUUCUAGAUCUUUGAUUAUCUAGUUUCUAGGUUUGUAAUAGUGUUAGAAUUGUAAUGUUUAUGUAACACUACAACCUCAAAUUGAUUUCAUGGCCAUACUACAUUACAACAAAGAGAUAUAAUCUCUCAAAGAUGUUGUCAGAGGCUGUUCUUCAUUUCUAGGUUUUCCAGAAAUGAAGAACAGUUCAUGGUGCCUACUUUGAGCCCUUAAAUAUUUGCUUUACAGGCUUGCUUAAUAUGAUUUCAAGGUUUAAUCUUGUAGCAUACAUGUCAAGGAACGAUUCGAUAACAUAAUAUCAGUCUAACAACAAAACAUGUGACAGAUCUAUGCUAGUCAACCCAUGUCAGAAAAUUCAUUCUUGAAGAUUUUGGGUUUUCCAGAAACCUUCAUAAGGCAGAUCGAUCAACCUACUUUAAACUUGAUUAUCUUUCAUUAUAUGUAUGAUCUGGGUGAUAUAAAGGUAUGAAUGUGUAGUUCUUAUGUCAUAUUACAACAUAAAACAACAACUUGGCCAAACUGCUUAAGAACAGCAGUAUCUAAUGCCUCAAAAAUGCUUGUCAGAUCAUUUAUCAUUUCUGGGUUUCUGGGCUGCCCAUAAACCAGUUGGUCAUGGUCGGUCAACCCUGUUUGACUGCUAAUAACUGGAGAUCUGUAACGACCGAGAAAUUCAGAUUUAUUGUAAAAUAAUUUUAUUUAAUUUAAUAAUGAAUAAAAUUAUAUUAUUUUUUAUUAUUAUGUGUUAGUAAGAUGAAUGUCGAUAACCUAGAGAUGUCGGAAUGUCGUAGUAUUUUGACUACGUGAAGGAAUUAAUGUGUUUUAAUUUCCAAGACGAAAAUAAAAGUUUUUUGAGAAUUUUUUUGAAAAACACUAUUCAUUAGUUUCUGCUUGGGAAUUAUUUUUGAACUUCUGAGAAAUACGUAACGAUAGAAUAUCGAGGUGAGAUGGAUUAUGUAAUAAUAAUUCACGUGUGGAGAACGCAGUUUUUUGCCUGCAGACUUAAUUUGAGAACGUUAGGAAAAGUAAAGCGUUAAGGAGUUAAACGAUGAUCGUAUGAUACGUAAGUAUUGUACGAGGUAAUGAAUACGAGUAUAAUACGAGGUAUUAUACGAGUAUGUAUGAAUGAUGGUAUAUCGUAUAUGAUGAAUAAGUAUACGAGUUGGAACACGAGAUUAAUACGUAGACAAUACAUUUUAAGGCUUUAAGCCAUAUGUAAUGGACUUGUAGGAUUGUGUAGGAAGUUGUAAAGUCCAAUUGGAAUUAUGAUAAAGCCCAAUGCUAAUUAAUGUUAAAGCUCAAAUGUUGGUUUAAUGCAAGCCCAAAGUAUAAGUUAAGUUAAUUAAACUACAAGCCCAACGUAAGAACCGAAUCCGUGGAUCAAUCCAAUGGGUAAAGAUGACCCAUGGGGCAACCCAUGUGGGCCCCAUGAGCACAUGGUUAAUCUUGGUGACCAAGUAAACUUGAUCACCAAGUGUUGAAUAGUAAGGAGGUGAUUGAAGGAGGUGGAUUAAAGAUUUAGAAGGGAUUAAAGACCGUUAAGCCCUAACCUUGGAUUUCCUAUAUAAUAGAAGCUUGCUAAUUCAUUUCUCACUUGUUAUUCCACCAACAAACAUUUAAGUGCUUAUUUGUUAGAGAAAAAGAGCUAGAAAAGCUAGACUUUGAUAAUCCAAGUAGUAAAGAAGGAGAACCAAGUGAUCUUCAAGGGUAAGAAUCCUAUAUCAUUAAUCUUCAAUCUCUUCAAUUGUAGUUUGAUAGAGAAGUGUUGAUUAGUGGAGUAUGUAUGCUAAGAAGUGAUGAGAAUGACUAAUCAAAGGACUUAAACCUUAAUAAGUCAUGAAUAAGUAGUUUAUACUUUUAUAAGUUAUAAAAUCAUAAAGAACAAGUAAGAACUUAUCAUGUAUAUGAUGUAAUGAAAUGUAUUGGUUAAGAUGUUAGUAUGAUGGAAUGAAUCCAUUUGAAAUGGUUUAAAAAUCUCAAGUAACGAAGUUAUGGCGAAAUUCACGAGUUUAGACAAUAAUCGUCGAAAUCGUGAAAUUCUCGAAAUGGAAGUCAAAUUUUGACAUUGAACUCAGAAAUGUUGUUUUUCGAUGGAGAAUAGUCUUAUUUGGAAUUCUAGAGUUGCGGACUCGAAAAUGACCAAAUUUCGACUUAGAACGAAGAAACGAGCGUUGAACGUUCACGAAAUUUUAUCGUUUUCGUUAAAAAUGAACUCAAAGGUGAAUUUUGAGUUAACAGAUUCAAAAAUGUAAAAUUCUUGCAUGAACACUUAGAGUAUGUGAUUUGUGGGCUAAUGGCUUUUGAACAUGCCAAUUCGGACUUAAAAUGAUCACAUUUGGAGUCCGAGAAGUUCGCAAAGUAGAAAAUCUGUCACGACUAUUUGGUGCACAGAGCUGGCGCUGAUGCGCCAGCCCAAGGCUAAGUAGGUGGCGCUGCAGCGCCGAGCCGUGCCCAUGACCUACUGUAGCUUCGUGUCGCAGCAUGACCUCUUGAACUGGAGUUGGGGCCACAGCGCUGGGACCGGGUGAAAGCCACUGAAUAGUGGUGCUGCAUCGCUGCUUAUAGAGUAGAAGCGGGUGCCACAACAUCAGCACUAGGCAAGACCUAGAAAUGAAUGUUUUUGAAUAUAAAACGAAAGAGGUAAUUGAUUAAUGGGAAUUCAUAUCCUUAAUUAACUUAAUGUAACAUCAUUUAGGAUGUUAUAAACCUUAAGUAUUACACUAAAGGUUGAAGAUAAGUCACUUGAAUGUGAACAUAAGAACAAGGUAAUAAGCCAGAACCAAUGAUAAACAAUCUAAGGCAUGAUUAGGUUGAGAACAAGGGUGAGAUAUAGUAGUAAACAUACUUGAUUAUAUAUGACCUAAUGUGGUACGUUAUGUGAUCAUGUGUUGUAGAAUUCUUAAAGACUCAAAGGGAAAGUAAUUAUACUGUAGCAGAUGCUAAAGGCAAGUGUUCUAACCCUUGUCUAUGUUCAAUCUGGACAAGCUUUCUGAUUCAUGUCUCUUACGCAUGAAUUGAUGUAUGAUGAAAUCGAAGCCAAUUCCUUCGGCCAGAUUUAAGAUGUUUCUUUGGAUUUUCUUAUAAUCUAUUGAAAUGUUGUCAAGUUUUGCCAAACUAUGUUGGUAUGGUUUUCAAAUGAAGACUAAGUAUGCUAAACAAAUGUUUUGUCAUCAAACGACAGGCACGUGAGGUUGCCACAACUUAAACGUACAUACAUUUAAAAACACCAGUAGUUCGCCUCCCCCUUCAUCAAAUAGGUAGCAAAAAUGGUGUUUUGCUCCUCUGCUACUCUAGCGAUAACGAAUGCUUUCUCUAUCUCUUUUGUCCAUAUCUGAGCUUCUAUUGGAUCUAAUGUUCCCUUAAACUCUGGUGGUCCUACUGCCUUGAAUUCUUUAAAAUUCGCUAAUUGAUUUCUUGGCAGACUUUCUGCUGUUGGUGCCCUAUUCUGCAUAGCUUUUGCCAUCAUAUUUACAAAGUCUUGCAUUGGGUUUGGUUAACCUCCACUUGCAUUAUUAACCGAUUCCUCGUCCUCUUGGUUUCUUACUACUCUUCUUGGCGGCAUUGUCUGAUUAAACAAAACUUUAAUUUAUUGCUUCAUCUUUUACACCUUUAUGGCACAUCUGAUUAGUGGUAUCAUAAAAAAUUAACAUAAAAUUUUAAACUCAGCCCAAUUUGGCUUGCUGGAUUAACCAAUUCGACUUGCUGAAUUAACUAAUUAUCAGUUAAACAACUUACUAUCUUUAUUCUCAAAACUUAUUUACUUAAUCAAACAUAUAUUAAUAUUUAUUCAACUAGUUCAUAGUACUUUACAUCGCAUCGCACAUACUGCGAUAUUCAUUUACUAUCCCUUUUUGACAACAAAAGUCAAGAAUCACUACGACAACUUAUACAAAAGUUGAGACUACAGAGGUUAUCUCAAUAUUCAUACAUAAGCGAGGAUUACAUUUAUAUAGAUGUAUAAUUACAUAUACCUACUCAUCAUCUACAAUACUACAAUUUUAACAUAUUAUCUUUCUCCAAAGGUUCUACUCCUCAUACUUAAUUUUUCUUUCUUCCACUUCCAUCACCUGUCUUCUUCUUAGGAUAAUUCUUAGCCUGAUGACCUUUUUCUCCUUACGAAAAAUAUCCUCCUUUCUUAGGUUUGGGAUAAUUGGGAGAUAUGUGUCAUCCUUCUCCGUAAUUAUAACACACAUUCUUACCCUUCAUACAUCCCCCAAAAUGCUUCUUUUCGCAGUCAAUACAUGCCUUCUUCUUCGGCUGUGAAUCCCCUAAGUUGUCGUCACUUUCAUUGUUCUAUUUCCUUUUAUUAUUUUCUCCCUCUUUCUUCUUUCUUAAAGUUUUAGAUGAUACAUUACACUCGGCUCUCCUCCCAUCAACUUGUGCCUUCAGCUCAUUUCGUUCUUCAGUUAUCUCUCUUUGUUCCCUGAUUCACCUACCAUUUCACCUUGAACUUCCACCUCGGCUAUUGGCACUGAUGCAGCUGCUAACAUCUCAAUAAGCACUUGAGUUUCUCUAAUCUCAUCAUCUCUUGACAUCUUAAAACCAACAAAUUUCAUUAAUAUCUCUCAAUAAAACAUACAUUCAUUAUAUGGAAUGAAAAUAUAUUUCAUAAUACUAGUAAUUCUCCAAGAAAACUCUACAUGAGUUUUAUCUCUUUUUAUUCCUUAAUCUCAUCAUCUACUAGCAUCCUUCAAUUAGUUUUAAACAACUUGAUUAAUACCUUACCAGUAAACACAAUCCAUAAACACUAAGUGUCCACACAUCUUACUAUUGAUGAAUUUUCUCAAUCCAUCACUUAGAACUCUAAAUAAGUUUUCUCUAUCAUUCUUAUGGUUAUAUUCCUAAUGCUUUUUCCCCCACCUAAGGUUUAUAACUUACAACUUUGAUACCAACCUGUGACGCCCCUAAAUCUAGGUUCUCUAACCUCAUAUUCAGUGCUCACGAUCCAUCAUCAUCAUAAGCAUUCUGUAAACUAUUGCGGAAUAAUAAACAUACAUUGUUCAUUAUAAUAUAGUUUCAUAACAUAAUCCCAAGGUCUUCUUUACCUUAACUUAAACACACCUUUAAUAUUACAAAAGGUUUACAUAAUUACACCAUCGUUAUCCCAGGUUAACUAACCUUAACCUUUCAUGUCUAUUAAUACAAAAGACUUAAACAAAAUUAUAAUAUAAUAAUUAUUUAACAACGUUGUCGACGUCGAGAUUUUUAUUGUCCCCCUUCUAUUCUUGUCUUUUGGUGUUCUUAUGUUAGGUGAGAUUUGUUGGAAAAACAAGUUGUGAAAAGGUCUGACAUUUACAUAUCAACAAAUUUACUGUAAGAGUCGACAGUUGGUUUUUUAAAUGGUUGUACCAACACAACCGAGAAAAGAUUUGCACAUUGACCAAGUGAUGUGACACAGCUAGACGAGUCUGUGAAACCGAGAUUCAUUAGGGUCCGGGAACUUGCUUAUGCGGAGGGAAGGUGUUAGGCACCCCCCGACAUCUGUGUUACCACGGUUACCGCCACUUUUCAAUUAAACUAUUAUAUGAAUGUGUGUGUGUGUGUGGGUCAAUGUACAGUUAUUUGGAAGUAGUGCUAUGCCUCGUUCGCACCUAUAUACACAGGGUUUGAGUUUAUAUAAAAAUUCAGUUUUAAACAAGAUAUAGCAAUGAUGUUUUAUAAAAGAGGUUUUUCAAACCCUGUGCUUAAUAGUAAUUGAGGCCUUUGAUACUUCCAUUUUAUUAAAUAUUCGGCUUGAUUGCUUUUAUUUUCGAGAUGCGAAGCAUCUUCGAGAAAAUAAUAUAUAAGGCAGUGCCGAACUGCUCAUGGGCAUAAAAGUCAUCUAAGGAAAUUCAAACACCAUGAAUAAUUUACAAGCUGCUUACAAUUGAAAAUGUGCAUCACGGGUACCGAAUCUAGAUUCAGUAGACUGAAUUUGUGAUCUCAUGAUUCUUAAGCUCACAUCAUGCCGCAAUUUAUAUGAAAGCAGUAAGCAGUUAUAUAUAUAAAAGCUAUAUAUAUAUAUAUAUAUAUAUAUAUAUAUAUAUAUAUAGAGAGAGAGAGAGAGAGAGACAUGAUCAACCACCACGAAGCACCUCCAUUGGGGAUCAAAAAUGUAAAUAAAGNNNNNNNNNNNNNNNNNNNNNNNNNNNNNNNNNNNNNNNNNNNNNNNNNNNNNNNNNNNNNNNNNNNNNNNNNNNNNNNNNNNNNNNNNNNNNNNNNNNNGUAUUUCAAGACGGUGGGACCCGCGGAGCCCGGGGCACCCCGGGCAGCUGCAGGUGUACCUAUGGUUCCCCCAAUCUAUAAAUAGAGGGCUUGGGGUGGCCAUAUUUCAAGAGAAAAAGGCGAGGAAGCCAUGCCCAAUUUGCUCUAUACACACCCUAAACUGAGUGCUUUCUCAUCUUAAACACUUGUGAGCUUAUAUUCAGUCAUAUUUUUACCGGCGGGAGACGAGUGUUCAUCAAUUUAAAGCUAUAAAAGUCUUCUGUGGCAGUCCACUGUAAGCCUUCUUACACCUUUUAAAGCCUUUCUCUUCUACUGUGCACACACCAUUUUUCAAAUUGAGAGUCGUGUUGAGUGUGUAUGCUCGGACUUUUGUUCGUGGCGUUUAUUUCCUUAUAUAUGUAUAUAUAUAUAUAUAUAUAUACAUAUAAAAGGAAAUAAACGCCACGAACAAAAGUCCGAGCAUACACACUCAACACGACUCUCAAUUUGAAAAAUGGUGUGUGCACAGUAGAAGAGAAAGGCUUUAAAAGGUGUAAGAAGGCUUACAGUGGACUGCCACAGAAGACUUUUAUAGCUUUAAAUUGAUGAACACUCGUCUCCCGCCGGUAAAAAUAUGACUGAAUAUAAGCUCACAAGUGUUUAAGAUGAGAAAGCACUCAGUUUAGGGUGUGUAUAGAGCAAAUUGGGCAUGGCUUCCUCGCCUUUUUCUCUUGAAAUAUGGCCACCCCAAGCCCUCUAUUUAUAGAUUGGGGGAACCAUAGGUACACCUGCAGCUGCCCGGGGUGCCCCGGGCUCCGCGGGUCCCACCGUCUUGAAAUACGUGCAUGCGUGCAAUGUGUUGUCUGCUCAAACUUGCAGAACUUCAAUUCGAGCCUCAGAUUGAGGUGUAUAAGACCUUUUACGAAGUACUUUUGUCGAGAGCUUCAUGCCUCGGGGUUAUCUCUGAGGUUGAAACUAACACUUCCGGUGUUAUUUCCGGGAAUGAGCUGAGUUUUCCUUUAGGGUUAUCUCUAAAAGACGAUUCUGCCCUCUUGCAAAGUUAGUAAUAGGUAUGUAAAAAAUUUUGCGUGUCUAGAGAUGCCCCACUUUAUCACUUUCAUGCAAUGUAAUGGCAUGGAUAGGAUUAAGAAUACUAGACACUUGAAAUGCAAUAAGAUGAUCAUGAUGCAAUGUACAACAACAUGAUGCAAAUGUAUGUGGUUUACUGGAUUGUUUUCCAACAUGGUGGGAUGAUUGCCGGCUCCCCUUGACUUCUACCAAGAUUGACAGUUAUUACUAACAACCCUGAUUAACUAUCUUGGACGUGUAGUCCAAUGCUCUCAGGAGCUUCCAGGAUGUUGACGUUGGGGUUAUCACCAAAGUCCUUAAUCCUUGAUACAGACUUCACACUGAAGAUGUAUCUCUCAUGUACAAGAGACUCUAUGGGGAUAGAGCUUUGUCUAUUGAGGAUGUGUAUAACAUAUUCCAUCAUCGGUCCUCCCCGAUGAGGAUGUUUUUCCCUGGUUUAUAUCGCCAGGUCUUUUCUCUGUUCUGUUGGAGUUACUGCCAAUAGUCGGUGUUGUCAGGGUUGCCUGACCUUCAUUGACAUGUGCAUCAACGGAUGAGAUCCCUGUUGGGGAUAAUGUCAAGGCUACUUGACCUUCGUUGACGUGUGCAUCAACGGAUAGAUUGUAUAAAAACUCGUUAGGAAAAGGUUUUAGGGCUACUGAUAAGUGGUAUUUUUACCUACUUAUUGAAUACCAAUUCAUGCGAAUUGUGUCCAUCUCAAGUACAUUUUAGUGUGUUUUAGUUGCAUUUCAUGUUAUUUUGCAUUGCAUUUACUUAAAAACUCCUUUUUGUGAAUAAGUGCAGGAAUCAGCUUAAUUUUGGUGAUAUUAGAGGGCAUGAGGCUAAUGGAUUCGUGAAGGCGAGGCACAAGCGGUGAUGUGCAUGGCGUGGAGGUACAAUAAAGUAUGGAGACCAAGCAUGGAAGAAGAUCAAACAUGAAAGAGAAAGUAGUAGCAGCAGCAGCAUGACAGCAACAGAACCAGAACCAGGACCUGCAGAAUUCAAUCCGCGCGGCCGCGCGAGAGGCCGGCUAGACAGGGCAAACUUUCUGCAAGUCACGCGCCCGCAUGAGGAACAUAGUGUAGGGGCGCGCGGCCGCGUGCGAUGCUGAAGCUGUUGAGUUGUUUUAUUUUAAUUUCCAUUUUUAAAAGAUUGUAAUCGAUUAAGACGAUAUCUGACGAGUGUCAGACACACACUAGGGGAGUUUUUGUCAUAUUUUGAGAAGAGUAACUAGGGUUUACACCUUGGGAGAGAUUCCAAUGUAGAACGAAGCCAAAACGUCUACUUCUCCAAUUCUUCUUGGAAUUUUCUGUCAUUGUGGAUUUCCAUUAUUGUUUACUGGAUUUCUAUGAGGAU
rnacentral:lncRNA from 1 species